UACAGAGGCCUCGAGCGUUAGGCGGAAUCACUGGGCUUAAAGCGUGUGUAGGUGGAUGCCUAAGUACCUUGUGAAAUCCCACAGCUUAACUGUGGAAUUGCUUGGUAUACUGGGUGUCUUGAGCCACUCAGGGGCUACUGGAACAAACGGUGGAGCGGUGAAAUGCGUAGAUAUCGUUUGGAACGCCAAUGGUGAAAACAAGUAGCUGGGGGUGUGCUGACACUGAGACACGAAAGCCAGGGGAGCGAACGGG
rnacentral:rRNA from 1 species